rnacentral:rRNA from 1 species
UACGUAGGGGGCGAGCGUUGUCCGGAGUUACUGGGCGUAAAGGGCAUGCAGGCGGUCCGACACGUUUUGUGUGACAGCGGGUGGCUUAACUACCCGAGGAUACGAAAGACGGUUGGACUUGAGGACUCGAGAGGGACACGGGAAUUCCGGGUGGAGUGGUGAAAUGCGUAGAGAUCCGGAGGAACACCGAAGGCGAAGGCAGUGUCCUGGCGAGUGACUGACGCUGAGGUGCGAAAGCCAGGGGAGCGAACGGG